ACUCCUGCGGGAGGCAGCAGUGGGGAAUAUUGGACAAUGGGCGCAAGCCUGAUCCAGCCAUGCCGCGUGAGUGAUGAAGGCCCUAGGGUUGUAAAGCUCUUUCACCGGUGAAGAUAAUGACGGUAACCGGAGAAGAAGCCCCGGCUAACUUCGUGCCAGCAGCCGCGGUAAUACGAAGGGGGCUAGCGUUGUUCGGAUUUACUGGGCGUAAAGCGCACGUAGGCGGACUAUUAAGUCAGGGGUGAAAUCCCGGGGCUCAACCCCGGAACUGCCUUUGAUACUGGUAGUCUUGAGUUCGAGAGAGGUGAGUGGAAUUCCGAGGGUAGAGGUGAAAUUCGUAGAUAUUCGGAGGAACACCAGUGGCGAAGGCGGCUCACUGGCUCGAUACUGACGCUGAGGUGCGAAAGCGUGGGGAGCAAACAGGUUUAGAAACCCGAGUGGUCCCAUGA
rnacentral:rRNA from 1 species